rnacentral:lncRNA from 1 species
CUGAAAACUUACUUAGCUUUCCUAUUCGUUUUAAUAACAUAUUGUUAAUUUAACGUGCUUUUUCAGGUAGAGACACUUUUGACCUGAUCUCUGCAGUCCUCAACAUAGUAUGUAACACAAGGGUUGCACCAGUGUCCAGGACCACCAGCAAUGCACGUGUGCACCAGUUCUGACACAUCUGCUGCAGACACGUGACAAUUCAGGAGUUGAAAAUCUCUUCGUGUUGCUGUUUUCAGUCAUGUUUCAGUGAUGGACACCCCGAUAGCCUUCAUUUCUAAGGAAGUUUCUUUUAUAAUGUAAUAAAUGCUUAAAGAAGA